AUCCAUCUGACGAGUCCCAAAUAAGACAACGAAACGCGCGUCCAACUGGAU
rfam:Schistosoma mansoni strain Puerto Rico chromosome 2, complete genome